rnacentral:rRNA from 1 species
UGGGGAAUAUUGGACAAUGGACCAAGAGUCUGAUCCAGCAAUUCUGUGUGCACGAUGAAGUUUUUCGGAAUGUAAAGUGCUUUCAGUUGGGAAGAACGAAAUGACGGUACCAACAGAAGAAGUGACGGCUAAAUACGUGCCAGCAGCCGCGGUAAUACGUAUGUCACGAGCGUUAUCCGGAUUUAUUGGGCGUAAAGCGCGUCUAGGUGGUUAUGUAAGUCUGAUGUGAAAAUGCAGGGCUCAACUCUGUAUUGCGUUGGAAACUGUAUAACUAGAGUACUGGAGAGGUAAGCGGAACUACAAGUGUAGAGGUGAAAUUCGUAGAUAUUUGUAGGAAUGCCGAUGGGGAAGCCAGCUUACUGGACAGAUACUGACGCUGAAGCGCGAAAGCGUGGGUAGCAAACAGG